GUGGAAUGAUGCUUACCUCUCCGGGAAAGUAGUUCUGAGGGCUUAGGAAGAAUAGGAGCUUUCUGAUACUCCUCACAUAAAGCAAACCAACUCCAGGGAUUAGUUGAAUGAAAGCGCCAGCUCAUGGAUGAGCGAUCAGAGUGACUAAUCGGCACAGAGCGAAAUGCCACUCAAUUGAAAAGCAUAGUAACUCGACCACCCAUCGGGGGGAGAAUAUGAGAUUGGGGCAAAGAGUCCCACGGACUAUGGCUAUGGCUGACAAGGCUCUUCAAGACCUAACCUAUUAAGAAAAGAACAGAUGCUCGAGCCACUCAAUUAUAUAUGAUCUUGGAAUAAAGGGAUUGAGAACAACU
rnacentral:lncRNA from 1 species